rnacentral:rRNA from 1 species
GAUGAACGCUGGCGGCGUGCUUAACACAUGCAAGUCGAACGAAGCAAUUUUUCGGAAGUUUUCGGAUGGAAGAAAAAUUGACUGAGUGGCGGACGGGUGAGUAACGCGUGGGUAACCUGCCCUAUGCAGGGGGAUAACAGUCGGAAACGGCUGCUAAUAGCGCAUAAGACCACAGUACCGCAUGGUACAGGGGUAAAAACUCCGGUGGCAUAGGAUGGACCCGCGUCUGAUUAGCUGGUUGGUGAGGUAACGGCUCACCAAGGCGACGAUCAGUAGCCGACCUGAGAGGGUGACCGGCCACAUUGGGACUGAGACACGGCCCAAACUCCUACGGGAGGCAGCAGUGGGGAAUAUUGCACAAUGGGCGAAAGCCUGAUGCAGCGACGCCGCGUGAGUGAAGAAGUAUUUCGGUAUGUAAAGCUCUAUCAGCAGGGAAGAAAAUGACGGUACCUGACUAAGAAGCCCCGGCUAACUACGUGCCAGCCGCCGCAGUAAGAC